GAUGAACGCUGGCGGCGUGCCUAAUACAUGCAAGUCGAGCGAACAGACGAGGAGCUUGCUCCUCUGACGUUAGCGGCGGACGGGUGAGUAACACGUGGAUAACCUACCUAUAAGACUGGGAUAACUUCGGGAAACCGGAGCUAAUACCGGAUAAUAUAUUGAACCGCAUGGUUCAAUAGUGAAAGACGGUUUUGCUGUCACUUAUAGAUGGAUCCGCGCCGCAUUAGCUAGUUGGUAAGGUAACGGCUUACCGAGGCAACGAUGCGUAGCCGACCUGAGAGGGGGAUCGCCACAAGUGGAAGUGCAACCGGGCCCGGCCCCCUCGGGGAGGAGGGAGAAGGAAUUCUCCCGCAUGGGCGGAAAGCCUGAGGGAGCAGCGCGGGGUGAGGAAGAAAGGUGUCGGGAUCUUAAAACUUUUUUAUGGGGGAAAAAAAAAUGUUUAAUUAACAAUGCACGUCUUGAGGGACCCUAAUAAGAAGACCAGGCCAAACUCCGUC
rnacentral:rRNA from 1 species